rnacentral:lncRNA from 1 species
CUCUUCUCUUCUCUUCUCUUCUCUUCUCUUCUCUUCUCUUCUCUUCUCUUCUCUUCUCUUCUCUUCUCUUCUCUUCUCUUCUCUUCUCUUCUCUUCUCUUCUCUUCGAAGGGAGAAAGGAAGGAUUAUCUCUCAUUUUGGUAUACUCUUUUGGGAGCAUAAGCACAUGGCAGGGUGGAUGCUGUGGGGGGGUCCAGGCAGCUCUGUGGAACAGUCUCCAGUGGGCUAGUAGGAUGAGAAGGUCCAGGGAUAGUUUGGGAAACGAGGAGAAACAUCACCUCCCAAGACGGUAAACCUGCUGAAAAGGUAGUACAAAAAGAAGGGUUGUCAAGGACUAAAUACUCCAGAUGCCCUGACUUGUGCUGCUAUUUGCAUAUUUUACACUCCAUCAGUUUCUCUCCAAAAGAAAAAGGUAUGCAUUUUUAAUAUGACAUUUGGUUUCACUUGGUAUUGUUUAUAUAAGCUAAAAGAAAAAUUG